UACGUAGGGUGCGAGCGUUAAUCGGAAUUACUGGGCGUAAAGUGUGCGCAGGCGGCCGAGCAGGUCGAGUGUGAAAGCCCCGAGCUUAACUUGGGAAUUGCGCUCGAAACUACUUGGCUGGAGUGUGGCAGAGGAAGGUGGAAUUCCAGGUGUAGCGGUGAAAUGCGUAGAUAUCGAGAGGAACACCUGAGGUGAAGACGGGUUGCUGGGCCGACACUGACGCUGAGUGCGCGAAAGCCAGGGGAGCAAACGGG
rnacentral:rRNA from 1 species